rnacentral:sRNA from 1 species
GAUCAAACGUCGUGGGGUCUUUCAUCCAGACUGCGUUUUCAUUAUUCGCUGAAACAUACAGGUUUUAAUUUUUACGAGGCUAAGGCCACGGCCGCCUCACCUCGGUUUUUGCCGCCACCCAGAGGAACUACGUGCGCCCCAACGGUCGCCCGGAUGUAGGCGUAGGGUGGAGCCGUAAGAGAUUGACUAGCCAGUUGAUUUGGUUGGCGCAGGCUCAGAAACGCCGUGACGCCGCCCUUUCCCCCAACACGUGAUGAAAGUCGGGGUGACGAAGGGCCGGCUUUGCGCAGGUGCACAGUACUCGCUAUGGCCCAUGCGUCACGUGACGAGGGCGUGACUGUGACACUGUGGAGGGGCGCCUACUAGGCAGGCGCUCUCAGCUGUCUCCCCGGUUUCCACUGAAGGAUGGUCCCCGGCUGCAGGCCUGGCUGCGGCACAUGGGCCGUGAGCACUGGGUGCCCAGCUGCCACCAGCACUUGUGCAGCGAGCACUUCACACCCUCCUGCUUCCAGUGGCGCUGGGGUGUGCGCUACCUGCGGCCUGAUGCAGUGCCCUCCAUCUUCUCCC